rnacentral:misc_RNA from 1 species
GGUGAACAUAUGAGGAUCUCAAAAUUUUAUAAUUAUCUCGCAGUUUUUUUCCAAAAAUAAUAGCAUGUUUAUAUGUAGUAUAAUUUGUGCAAAACCAUAUAUAUAGCAUUUCAAGAGCCUAAAUUGACACUCAAUUCAGCUUUGGCAACCCGUGUGCACUGCCUUCCAGCACCAAUCAAACAGAGAUCUAUCCAAGAACUAUGAUACAACACCAGGAAACAAAAUAUGCUUCAAAAUUAUUUUGUGAUCCUGCCAAACAACAACAAUAAUUAUGCCAAUACCUAAUCAAAACCCAAAAUUGAUUCUUCCACAAUAAGUAUUCAUUACUCCUUAAAGAUUUUCCGUGACAGAAUAUUUCAUAAAAGAAAAAGGUAAAAAAUCUAAUUUAUCAAACAUGCCAUAACACUAAUUUCUGAGGCAAACAAGUGAACUAGUUCUUACUAAAGAGUUCUGAGAAAGUAACACAGAUAACAUAAUCAUAAUGUAUUGUAAUACACAACAGAUUAUGCCUUAUGGUCAUCUUCAUUUUGACACUGAUUGCAACAUAUUUAAUAUACUAAAUUUGUAUAUACACAAUUACAAGAAAGACUACGUCAUUCACAUAAAAAGACACCGAGUAAAUCAUUGAAUGGAAUCAUAUCAUGAAUUGAACCACCAAAACCCUAAUCAAC